CAAUCAAUCAAAUUGUAUUAUCUAGGCGUUAACUAGUUAUUACACACAUGGACUGAAAGAGGAAGCCCAAAAUGACUCCCAGACUUGGUUGGAUGAUGGCAAACACUGUACCAUUCAGUUUGAAGACAACCCUCCGCCCCCCUUAUGGACGACCUGAAACCCUCCCGAGUGUCACUUUGAGUUGAUGCUUUAACCCGUGAAAGAGGCUCACUGUGCGCAGCGUCGCUGUCGGAUCAGACGUCCGAAUGCCUUUUGAACAGGUAGCUUCGUGGUGAAUGACAUUUUGCGUGAUGACUGAAUAGAGCAAUAAACUGAACUUCAGUGCCCUCCUUACUAUUCAAUCAGUUUGAUUCAAACCCAGUCAUGAUUUUGUUUUCUAUUGGAAUCAUUUAAAAUUGUAUGUGUCAGGAAAAAAUGAUACUGAGAAAAUAGGCAAUAAACUCACGUCUUUUGAAAGUGUGAAUGGUUCACAUGCAGAUGUUGGAGGGCCUUCUCUCCCCGGUGACCAUCAAGUGAUGUGAAAGGUGCCGCUGUCAUCGGAUAGUUGGAUCUCUCGGUUAGUGCCACGGCUGUGGCUUAGCUACAUUAUCUCCUCGUGCCUGUCCACGACCGCGUUGCAGCUUCGCUCCUCCUCGACAGGUUCUACUCACCACUGCUCAUGAGAUUGCACGCGGAUGUACAUCCACAUUCUAUUGUCAGGGUUAGAAAAUGAACAAAAGGCGGUGCAGCAGCUGCAGCGUCAGGUUUUAUGUCCUUGCACCUUUUAACGAUUCUACUGGGAGGAGGUGUUUUUACUGCAAAUUAUUAUUCUAAUCAUUAUGAAGACAUUGGUAAAAAGGGCCCCUAAAGUGAAAGAAUGUCAUUUGAGAUAUAACGUACUCAAGACGCGACACUUUUGUAUAUGUAUUUAUCGUUGUGUUCUCUCACGGUUGGACGGACGAUACUUGGAUUUUGGAGCCCAAUGCUCACAAAGUCGCUAAAACCGGAUUUUAUUUAAAUCGCUGCAACGGCAGAUCCAUUUGGAAAUGUUAAACUGGCAAAAGUAGAGCUUACAUUUUUGACAGUGUGAAGCCUCGUCUUAAGACGUGAGAGUACGGUUGGGACUGCCUGGUAGGCGAGCUGAUGCAGCUGACACACACCGUACGCCACGUGGGCAAAGGGAAUGUCCUGCAGCGGGGAGGCCUGUGUAGAGCUUCAUCUGCUGCUGCACCCAUGCAAGAGCUCCACCCACUAACAACCAGAGCAUGCUGAGGAACAACCCCGGGAUGUGUUAGGUAGACUUACUUUGUCAUUUGCAGAACCUCAAUGUUAUUUUGUGUUUGGUUUUUUUCUUCAUUUUAAUCAUUUUUUGGGGGUUUGGAAAAAAAGUUGUUUAUUGUGAUUACUUGUUAAUUAGUGAUGUGAUUGUUGAACAUGAAAUAAAAAUGGACUAAAACUCUCA
ensembl:lncRNA